UACAGAGGGUGCGAGCGUUGUCCGGAAUCACUGGGCGUAAAGGGCGCGUAGGCGGCAUGCCAAGCGUGUGGUGAAAGCCCGGGGCUCAACCCCGGGUCGGCCGUGCGGACUGGCGUGCUCGAGCACUGUAGGGGCGGGUGGAAUUCCGGGUGUAGCGGUGGAAUGCGUAGAGAUCCGGAAGAACACCGGUGGCGAAGGCGGCCCGCUGGGCAGGAAGGCUCGCAAGAGCCGGCUGACGCUGAGGCGCGACAGCGUGGGGAGCAAACAGG
rnacentral:rRNA from 1 species